GCAAUUUAUGUUUAUGAGGCAUUCCUGCAAUGGGACAUGACCUCUGAUCCCAAUAAUUCUUUCCCAGAUGCUGUGUUGACAUUUCUACUGCUUAAGUAUAAAGCAAGUAAAAGCCAUGAUUAUUUCAGUUUGUUACUAUGCCAAUGCUGCCUAAGAAAAAAAUUACUAACUUGAAUUUUCAAGAUUGUUGAAGAGUUUUAAACGAGAUAAACAAAUAUAAAUCUAGUUAACAUUUGCAUGCAUUACUUUCCAUUUCUUUACAUGAAUUUAUACUUCGUUAAUGGGUAGGAUAUCCCUAGAUAUAUAUAUAUAUAUUUUAAAUAUUUUUUUUUUUGAGACAGAGUCUUGCUCUGUCCCCUAGGCUGAAAUGCAGUGGCGUGAUCUUGGCUCACUGCAACCUCUGUCUCCUGGGUUCAAGCGAUUCUCCUGCCUCAGCCUCCCAAGUAGCUGGGAUUAUAGGCACCUGCCAUAAUGCCAGGCUGUUUUGUAUUUUUAGGACACGGGGUUUCACCAUGUUGGCCAGGCUGGUCUUGACCUCCUGACCUCAGGUGAUCCACCAGCCUCGGCCUCCCAAAGUGCUGGGAUUACAGGCCUGAGCCACUGUGCCUGGCCUUAUUUUUUAUUUUUUUGACACAGGUCUGAGCCACUGUAGCCAGUGGGAUAUCCCUUUUAAAAUUCAUCUAUAAUUUUUACAAAUUCUCCACUUUUUGUCCCCACCUUUCCCCCACCCCUCUAAACUAACACCAUUUAAAAAACUCAGGCUUAGAAACUGAAUGUUAAAAUUGUUCUCCUGAAAUAGAAUCUGAAAAAUCAGCUUCCUCUUUUUUUUUUUUUUUUUGAGAUGGAGUCUCACUCUGUCACCCCGGCUGGAGUUCAGUGGCGCCAUCUCGGCUCACUGCAAGCUCUGCCUCCCGGGUUCAUGCCAUUCUCCUGCCUCAGCCUCCCGAGUAGCUGGGACUACAGGAGACUGCCACCACGCCCGGCUAAUUUUUGUAUUUUUACUAGAGACGGGGUUUCAUCAUGUUAGCCAGGAUGGUCUCGAUCUCCUGACCUCGUGAUCCGCCCGCCUCAGCCUCCCAAAGUGCUGAGAUUACAGGCGUGAGCCACCGUGCCCGGCCUCAGCUUCCUCUUAAGUGAACAGUUCCUCAUAGAUGGUUUCUGGAAAGAUAAAUCCUUUGGAGAAGAAAAAGAGUGCUAAAAAUGCCUGAAGGCAAUGAAUCACAUACUGUGCUGUUAAAAGCUUUAUAUACGUGAUUCAUUCUACAAAUAUUUUUUAAGAAUUUACUAUGUGCUAGGCAGUAUUCCAGACACUGGAAAUAAAGUAUGAUGAUUCAAACAGAAAAUAUCUGUGCCCUCAUGAAGUUAGGUUCUUGUUAGUGAGGACACACAACAAAGAAAAUAAGUAAAACAAAUUACAGUCAUGUGCUACACAGCAAUGUUAUAGUCAAUGAUGGACCACAUAUAGGACAAUGGUUCCAUAAGAUUAUAUUGUAUUUUCACUGUACCUUUUCUGUGUUUCUUUCUUUUUUUUUUUUUUUAGACAAGUUCUCACUCUGUUGCCCAAACUGGAGUGCAGUGGCGCGAUCACUGCAGCCUCUACCUCUUGUGUUCAAGUAAUCCUCCCACUUCAGCCUCCCAAGUAGCUGGGACUACAGCUAUGUGCCACCACACCCGGCUAAUUUUUGUAUUUUUUGUAGAGAUGGGGUUUAGUCAUGUUGCCUGGGCUGGUCUUGAACUUCUGGGUUCAAGUGAUCCUCCUGCCCUGGCCUCCCAAAGUGGUGGGAUUACAGGUGUGAGCCACCACACCUAGCCCUUUUCUGUGUUUAAAUAUGUUUAGAUUCACAAAUACUUACCAUUGUGUUACAAUUACCUACAGCAUGAAGUACAGUAUGCUACGCAGGUUUGUAGCCUAGGGGCAAUAGACUAUAUACCACAUAGCCUAGGUGUGUAGUAGGCUAGACAAUCUAGGUUUGUGUACAUGAACUCUAUAAUGUCUGCACAGGGAUGAAAUUGGCUAAUGAUGCAUUUCUCAGAAAGUAUCUCCAUCUGUAAGUGACAUAUGACUGUAUAUCAUAUGUUUUAAUAUGGAGAAAAAGCAGUGAGAGAGAAAAAGAAGUUUGUGUAAUGGUGUGUGUUAAGUCUUAGAAAAUGAAGACAAUGGUUUCACUGAAUCGGUGACUUUUGGGCAAAUACUGAAGGAGGUGAGGAAGUAUCCAUGGCAACAUCUAGGAAAGCAUUCCAGGAACCCCAACGAGGCCAGAAGGCUGCAGCGGCAGAAGGCCUGCAGCAGCACUGGCGAGGGAGGGAGUGGAAGAAGAGCCAGAAGGCAGCAGGAGCCCGCUCACUGAGGGUCCUUCAGCCAUGCUAAGGACUUUGGCUUUACACUGGGAGAAAUGGGGAGGUAUGGGGAGGUUCUGAGUUAGAGGAAUGACAUACGCUGGCUUUGGUUGUAGCAGGAUCGGCCUGGCUGCUAUGGUGAGGACACAUGAAAGGGGGCAAGGGAGAAGGAGGGAGACCAGUGAGGAGGCUAAUGUGUUAAUCCAGCGGGGAGAAGAUAGGGACUUGGGCCAGGGUGGCAGCUGUGGAGGUGGUAGGAAAAGAUUAGAUUCUGCAUGUAUUUUGAAGGUAGAACCAAUAUGCUUUUCUAAUGUCUUGAAUAUGGAAUGUGGGAAAAAGGAGUCAUGGUUGAUUCCAAGGUUUUGGUCAGAGCAAAAGGAAAAGGAGAUGCCAUUAAUGAGAUGGCAAGAAGGGUGGGAGGAGGAGGUUUGAGGCUGAGAUCAGGAGUUCAGUUUUGAACAUAUUGAACUGGAGGUGCCUAUUUGGCAUUCAUGUUGAAAUAUCAAGUAGGCAGUUCAAUAUUCAAUUCUGCCAAGUGCAAGUUCAAAAGGGAAGUUUAGGCUGGAGGUACACAUUUGGGAAUAAUCAGUAUACAGAUGACAUUUAAAGUCAGGAGUUUAGAUGAGAUCAUUUUCUCAUGCAAUUCUUAAAACACCAGCAUGAGGUAGAUAUUAUUUUAAUUCCCAUUUUAGAUAUAAAGAGAUAGGCUGGAGAGGUUUAAAUAGUUCACUCUAAGUCAUUCAGUUAGUAACUGUAGGGACUCCAAUGUUCAUUCUUAUCUCUAAGAGAUAGUUUUCAACUUGGGCUCUGUGACAAUCCUAAAAGAAAGGAAGGUUCAGUUUAAGGGGACUGUCUCUGAUUUCCAUCUGUACGUAUUUGUUGGGGUUUUAUGUACGAUUUUAUUUGAAAAAAAAAAAAAAAAAAAAAGUAUUUAUGCUGAGUGAGGUUGACUCACGUCUCUAAUCCCAGCAACUUGGGAGGCUGAGACAGGAGGACUGCUUGAGCCUAGGAGUUCAAGACCAGCCUGGGCAACAAAGCAAGACCCUGUCUCUACAAAAAGAAAGAAAGAAAGAGAGAGAGGCCAGGUGCAGUGGCUCAUGCCUGUAAUCCCAGCACUUUGGGAGGCCAAGGUGGGCAGAUCACUUGAGGUCAGGAGGUGGAGACCAGACUGGCCAACAUGGUGAAACCCCGUCUCUACUAAAAAUACAAAAAUUAGCCAGGCAUGGUGGCACGUGCCUGUAAUCCCAGCUACUGAUUCUGAGCUUUUUGAAGAUAGAAACUCUAAUUAAUCUCUGUGUUUGCAGCAACUAGCCUGUGCCUGCACACAGAUGUUCAACAAAUGUUUGGACUGUCUGAAUAAUACAUAUUAAUUGGAACAACUAUAAAAAUGUUAAAUGUUACCUUCUCCAUGGAAGAGAUAGUUCAGUAUAAAGCAUGAAAUCCAAAAUCCCAUCACAAUUAAUAACACGAUAAUCUUGUAAAAUGAGAGCACAAGUCUGUCAGAUAUCAGAUCUUGGGGAUAUAAUCAAUGAAUGAGGCAGCGUACAUCAACAACAACAAUAACCAAAUGGGCAAAGACAUGAAGGCAACUCACACAGAAGAAAUAAAAAUGCUCUAUAAACACUUUGAAAAAGAUCAACUACUUUAGUAAUCACAGAGUUGUGAGUGAAACCACAUAUUGUUCUUGCCUAUGUGUCAAAGUUUUAAAAAUAGUAUCCUUUCAUAUUGGCCAAGGUCUGAGAAAGAGGCUCUCAUGCACUGCUAUUAGCAAUGUGUAGCUUUCUGUAGGGUAAUUUGAGAAAAUGAAUCCAAAUCCUUUAAAAUGUGCCUACCACCAUACUCCACCCUCCAUACCUACCCUCCAAUCCCUGGAAAUGUACAUGCACAUACAAAGACAUUCUGCUUCUAGGAUUUUUCCUACAGAAAUAUUCACAGAUAUGCCCAAUGAUACAAAUCUAUUCAUGGCCGUACUGCUUGUGAGAAGGAAAAAAUGUAAAUAUUAAAAUCCAUGAUAGGAUUAAUUAAAUUGCAGUACAUACAUAUGAUAAAAACCCAUGCAGCCAAAAAACAUCAAUAUAUUGAAAGAAGCAUUAAUGACAUGGGAAAAUAUUAAGUGAAAAAAGUAGAUUUUACAAAAGAAGUAUAGUAUAACCUCUGCCUCCCAGGUUCAAGCAAUUCUCAUGCCUCCCUCACCC
rnacentral:lncRNA from 1 species